CAGUAAAUAUGGGUGGGAUACUUGUGCUGCUUGUUAUUUUCAGGAUCCCAACAGCAUUGUCGGCACAAAGACAGGAAGGCUGGUGAAGCACUUUUAUACCAAGCACCAUGAGGAUGAAGCACCGGAGAGAUGCGACGUGUGCAGCGCCUUGUUUCUCAGUCAGCGGCUUAAGUGGCACAUCAAAUUUUGCCACCCUGGACAUUGCAGUCGGGAUUUGAAGCAGGUCUCAUCAUGAUCAUGCACGUGUCUCAAUCAGGAGAAGGCGUUUACAGUGGCUGUUGGUAGACAAAAGCACAUGUUCUCCUCAAAACAGUCCGUCAUUUUCUCGGAGAUGAUUUGUACAUCAGGAUGUUUCGCCUUCUGGUUUUUCGUUUUCUCAUCUAGGAUCUAGGAGAAGAGAUAAUCUCAUAUUCAUUAGGUUAUCGUCAUAUUAUCGUACAAAUUUGUGAUAAUUGUCCAAAACAUCAUUCCCAGUACUUCCUUGCUCAAGCAGCACACCUCCUGGUGUGAAGUUUAUAUCAUGCCAAUUCUCUUUGAUGAUUAA